rnacentral:rRNA from 1 species
UACGGAGGGUGCAAGCGUUGUCCGGAUUUAUUGGGUUUAAAGGGUGCGUAGGCGGCUGAUUAAGUCAGCGGUGAAAGUUUUCGGCUCAACCGAGAGACUGCCGUUGAUACUGGUUGGCUUGAGUUAUGGAGGGGUACAUGGAAUUUAUGGUGUAGCGGUGAAAUGCAUAGAUACCAUAAGGAACACCGAUAGCGAAGGCAUUGUACUGGCCAUAAACUGACGCUGAGGCACGAAAGCGUGGGUAGCGAAC